GUCUCUUCGGAGACAUCCGAUAAAAUUGGAACGAUACAGAGAAGAUUAGCAUGGCCCCUAGGCAAGGAUCACACGCACAAAUCGAGAAAUGAUCCUUCUAUUC